rnacentral:rRNA from 1 species
UACGUAGGGGGCAAGCGUUGUCCGGAAUCAUUGGGCGUAAAGAGCGUGUAGGCGGCCCGAUAAGUCCGCUGUGAAAGUCCAGGGCUCAACCCUGGAAUGCCGGUGGAUACUGUCGGGCUCGAAUCCGGAAGAGGUGAGUGGAAUUCCUGGUGUAGCGGUGAAAUGCGCAGAUAUCAGGAGGAACACCGGUGGCGAAGGCGGAUCUCUGGGCCAUUACUGACGCUGAGGAGCGAAAGCGUGGGGAGCGAACAGG